rnacentral:rRNA from 1 species
CCUACGGGAGGCUGCAGUGGGGAAUAUUGCACAAUGGGGGAAACCCUGAUGCAGCGACGCCGCGUGAGCGAUGAAGUAUUUCGGUAUGUAAAGCUCUAUCAGCAGGGAAGAAGAUGACGGUACCUGACUAAGAAGCACCGGCUAACUACGUGCCAGCAGCCGCGGUAAUACGUAGGGGGCAAGCGUUAUCCGGAUUUACUGGGUGUAAAGGGAGCGUAGACGGCGAUGCAAGUCAGAUGUGAAAGCCCGGAGCUCAACCCCGGGACUGCAUUUGAAACUGUGUGGCUGGAGUGUCGGAGAGGCAGGCGGAAUUCCUAGUGUAGCGGUGAAAUGCGUAGAUAUUAGGAGGAACACCAGUGGCGAAGGCGGCCUGCUGGACGAUGACUGACGUUGAGGCGCGAAAGCGUGGGGAGCAAACAGGAUUAGAUACCCUAGUAGUC